rnacentral:rRNA from 1 species
UACGGAGGGUGCAAGCGUUGUCCGGAUUCAUUGGGUUUAAAGGGUGCGCAGGCGGGCGAUUAAGUCAAGGGUGAAAGACGGUUGCUCAACAAUCGCAGUGCCUUUGAUACUGGUUGUCUUGGGUGACCUUGAGGUAGGCGGAAUGGGUGGUGUAGCGGUGAAAUGCAUAGAUACCACCCAGAACUCCGAUUGCGAAGGCAGCCUACUGGAGGUUCACCGACGCUCAGGCACGAAAGCGUGGGGAUCAAACAGG